rnacentral:rRNA from 1 species
UUGACGUUGGAUUACCAGUGAGCGGCGGACGGGUGAGUAACACGUGGGCAACCUGCCCUGAAGCGGGGGAUAACAUCUGGAAACAGGUGCUAAUACCCCAUAACAACGAAAACCACAUGGUUUUCGUUUCAAAGAUGGUUUCGGCUAUCACUUCAGGAUGGGCCCGCGGUGCAUUAGCUAGUUGGUAAGGUAACGGCUUACCAAGGCAAUGAUGCAUAGCCGAGUUGAGAGACUGAUCGGCCACAAUGGAACUGAGACACGGUCCAUACACCUACGGGAGGCAGCAGUAGGGAAUCUUCCACAAUGGGCGCAAGCCUGAUGGAGCAACACCGCGUGAGUGAAGAAGGGUUUCGGCUCGUAAAACUCUGUUGUUGGAGAAGAACGUGCGUGAGAGUAACUGUUCACGCAGUGACGGUAUCCAACCAGAAAGUCACGGCUAACUACGUGCCAGCAGCCGCGGUAAUACGUAGGUGGCAAGCGUUAUCCGGAUUUAUUGGGCGUAAAGCGAGCGCAGGCGGUUGCUUAGGUCUGAUGUGAAAGCCUUCGGCUUAACCGAAGAAGGGCAUCGGAAACCGGGCGACUUGAGUGCAGAAGAGGACAGUGGAACUCCAUGUGUAGCGGUGGAAUGCGUAGAUAUAUGGAAGAACACCAGUGGCGAAGGCGGCUGUCUGGUCUGCAACUGACGCUGAGGCUCGAAAGCAUGGGUAGCGAACAGGAUUAGAUACCCUGGUAGUCCAUGCCGUAAACGAUGAGUGCUAGGUGUUGGAGGGUUUCCGCCCUUCAGUGCCGGAGCUAACGCAUUAAGCACUCCGCCUGGGGGAGUACGACCGCAAGG